rnacentral:rRNA from 1 species
AAAUUGAAGAGUUUGAUCAUGGCUCAGAUUGAACGCUGGCGGCAGGCCUAACACAUGCAAGUCGAACGGUAACAGGAAGCAGCUUGCUGUUUUGCUGACGAGUGGCGGACGGGUGAGUAAUGUCUGGGAAACUGCCUGAUGGAGGGGGAUAACUACUGGAAACGGUGGCUAAUACCGCAUAACGUCGCAAGACCAAAGAGGGGGACCUUCGGGCCUCUUGCCAUCAGAUGUGCCCAGAUGGGAUUAGCUUGUUGGUGAGGUAACGGCUCACCAAGGCGACGAUCCCUAGCUGGUCUGAGAGGAUGACCAGCCACACUGGAACUGAGACACGGUCCAGACUCCUACGGGAGGCAGCAGUGGGGAAUAUUGCACAAUGGGCGCAAGCCUGAUGCAGCCAUGCCGCGUGUAUGAAGAAGGCCUUCGGGUUGUAAAGUACUUUCAGCGGGGAGGAAGGUGUUGUGGUUAAUAACC